GAUGAACGCUGGCGGCGUGCCUAAUACAUGCAAGUCGAGCGAAUGGAUUAAGAGCUUGCUCUUAUGAAGUUAGCGGCGGACGGGUGAGUAACACGUGGGUAACCUGCCCAUAAGACUGGGAUAACUCCGGGAAACCGGGGCUAAUACCGGAUAACAUUUUGAACCGCAUGGUUCGAAAUUGAAAGGCGGCUUCGGCUGUCACUUAUGGAUGGACCCGCGUCGCAUUAGCUAGUUGGUGAGGUAACGGCUCACCAAGGCAACGAUGCGUAGCCGACCUGGGAGGGUGAUCGGCCAACAGGGGACUGAGACCCGGCCCAGACUCCUACGGGAGGCAGCAGUAGGGAAUCUUCCGCAAUGGACGAAAGUCUGACGGAGCAACGCCGCGUGAGUGAUGAAGGCUUUCGGGUCGUAAAACUCUGUUGUUAGGGAAGAACAAGUGCUAGUUGAAUAAGCUGGCACCUUGACGGUACCUAACCAGAAAGCCACGGCUAACUACGUGCCAGCCGCCGCCGUAA
rnacentral:rRNA from 1 species